GGCCGCAUCGUCUAAAGGUUAGGACGUUAGGUUUUCAACCUAGAGAUCGGGGUUCGAUGUCCCCGUGCGGCUACCA
rnacentral:tRNA from 1 species